rnacentral:rRNA from 1 species
GACGUAGAACGCAAACGUUAUCCGGUCUUACUGGGCGUAAGGUGCGCGCAGGCGGAUCGAUAAGUGAGGCAUGGAAGCUUCAGGCUAAAACUGGAGAGGCUGUCUGAGACUGUCGAUCUGGAGUGCGAUAGAGGGGUGUAGAAUUACGCGUGUAGUGGUGAAAUGCGUAGAGAUGCGGAGGAAUUCCAGAGGCGAAGGCGGCACACUGGAUCGUAACUGGCGCUGAGGUGCGAAAGCAUGGGGAGCGAACGGG